UACUCUCAUACCAAAGGGUGCUAUGUCUACUGCUUCUUCUGCUUCUGGCACUAGUGCUGGCCGGAACUGCUUGUUGCACUUGCUACUCUCCAGGAUGCUGAUGCGUAUCUUGAUGUUUUCACGGGUAUGUUAAGAGAUUUCUCAUGUGGUGUGUAUUUAUUUCUUGAUCUAGGGUCUACUCUUUCUUAUGUGACCCCAUAUGUGAUCGUGCAUCUUGAAUGUGGUCCCG
rnacentral:lncRNA from 1 species